rnacentral:rRNA from 1 species
UACGGAGGGUGCAAGCAUUAAUCGGAUUUAUUGGGCGUAAAGGGCGCGUAGGCUGUAGGGAAAGUCAGAUGUGAAAUCCCGGGGCUCAACCUCGGAACUGCAUUUGAAACUUCUCUACUAGAGGGUGGGCGGAGAAAAUGGAAUUCCACAAGUAGCGGUGAAAUGCGUAGAUAUGUGGAAGAACACCAGUGGCGAAGGCGAUUUUCUAGCUUACACCUGACGCUGAGGCGCGAAAGCAAGGGGAGCAAACAGG